rnacentral:rRNA from 1 species
CCUUCGGGAGGCAGCAGUGGGGAAUAUUGGACAAUGGGCGAAAGCCUGAUCCAGCCAUGCCGCGUGUGUGAAGAAGGCCUUCGGGUUGUAAAGCACUUUCAGUGGGGAAGAAAGCCUUGGGGCUAAUACCCUCGAGGAAGGACAUCACCCACAGAAGAAGCACCGGCUAACUCCGUGCCAGCAGCCGCGGUAAUACGGAGGGUGCGAGCGUUAAUCGGAAUUACUGGGCGUAAAGCGCGCGUAGGCGGUCUGAUAAGCCGGUUGUGAAAGCCCCGGGCUCAACCUGGGAACGGCAUCCGGAACUGUCAGGCUAGAGUGCAGGAGAGGAAGGUAGAAUUCCCGGUGUAGCGGUGAAAUGCGUAGAGAUCGGGAGGAAUACCAGUGGCGAAGGCGGCCUUCUGGACUGACACUGACGCUGAGGUGCGAAAGCGUGGGUAGCAAACAGGAUUAGAUACCCCGGUAGUC